GCGGACCCGACCGCAGACGGUACCUUCAAGCCCGAUACGACGACGGUAUGACGGAAGUCCGGUGAGAAUCCGGCACGGUCGCGCCACUGUAAGCCCGCAGCACCGGCCCGUACGGGCGGUUCUGCCGGGGAGUCAGACCCGAUGCCGUCGUUUCUGCACCAUC
rnacentral:ncRNA from 2 species